rnacentral:rRNA from 1 species
CCUACGGGUGGCAGCAGUGGGGAAUAUUGCACAAUGGGCGCAAGCCUGAUGCAGCCAUGCCGCGUGUGUGAAGAAGGCCUUCGGGUUGUAAAGCACUUUCAGCGGGGAGGAAGGCGUUAAGGUUAAUAACCUUGGCGAUUGACGUUACCCGCAGAAGAAGCACCGGCUAACUUCGUGCCAGCACGCCGCGGUAAUACGGAGGGUGCAAGCGUUAAUCGGAAUUACUGGGCGUAAAGCGCACGCAGGCGGUCUGUCAAGUCGGAUGUGAAAUCCCCGGGCUCGACCUGGGAACUGCAUUCGAAACUGGCAGGCUAGAGUCUUGUAGAGGGGGGUAGAAUUCCAGGUGUAGCGGUGAAAUGCGUAGAGAUCUGGAGGAAUACCGGUGGCGAAGGCGGCCCCCUGGACAAAGACUGACGCUCAGGUGCGAAAGCGUGGGGAGCAAACAGGAUUAGAUACCCCAGUAGUC